GACGGAGGAUGCAAGUGUUAUCCGGAAUCACUGGGCGUAAAGCGUCUGUAGGUGGUCAAAUAAGUCAACUGUUAAAUCUUGAGGCUCAACCUCAAAAUCGCAGUCGAAACUAUUAGACUAGAGUAUAGUAGGGGUAAAGGGAAUUUCCAGUGGAGCGGUGAAAUGCGUAGAUAUCGGAAGGAACGCCGGUGGCGAAAGCGGCGUGCUGGACCUCUUCUGACGCUGAGGCGCGAAAGCCAGGGGAGCAAACGGG
rnacentral:rRNA from 1 species